UACGGAGGGUGCGAGCGUUGUCCGGAAUCACUGGGCGUAAAGGGCGCGUAGGCGGCUCGUUAAGGGUGCGGUGAAAGCCCGGGGCUUAACCCCGGGUCGGCCGUGCCGACUGAUGAGCUCGAGCACUGUAGAGGCAGGUGGAAUUCCAGGUGUAGCGGUGAAAUGCGUAGAUAUCGGGAGGAACACCCGUAGCGAAGGCGGCACUCUGGGCCGGUACUGACGCUGAGGAGCGAAAGCGUGGGGAGCAAACAGGG
rnacentral:rRNA from 1 species